AUCCUUUACAGAGCUAACGCCAUGGGCCCCCUCAUGAGUGCCGGAGAUAAGCGCCGGAAAGGAUAAACGCA
rfam:Sodalis sp. TME1 1.TCA.454Reads_contig_3093, whole genome shotgun sequence.